rnacentral:rRNA from 1 species
CUUGCUCUUCUUGGAAGAGUUGCGAACGGGUGAGUAACGCGUAGGUAACCUGCCUUGUAGCGGGGGAUAACUAUUGGAAACGAUAGCUAAUACCGCAUAACAAUGGGUGACCCAUGUCAUUCAUUUGAAAGGGGCAACUGCUCCACUACAAGAUGGACCUGCGUUGUAUUAGCUAGUAGGUGAGGUAACGGCUCACCUAGGCGACGAUACAUAGCCGACCUGAGAGGGUGAUCGGCCACACUGGGACUGAGACACGGCCCAGACUCCUACGGGAGGCAGCAGUAGGGAAUCUUCGGCAAUGGGGGCAACCCUGACCGAGCAACGCCGCGUGAGUGAAGAAGGUUUUCGGAUCGUAAAGCUCUGUUGUAAGUCAAGAACGAGUGUGAGAGUGGAAAGUUCACACUGUGACGGUAGCUUACCAGAAAGGGACGGCUAACUACGUGCCAGCAGCCGCGGUAAUACGUAGGUCCCGAGCGUUGUCCGGAUUUAUUGGGCGUAAAGCGAGCGCAGGCGGUUUGAUAAGUCUGAAGUUAAAGGCUGUGGCUCAACCAUAGUUCGCUUUGGAAACUGUCAAACUUGAGUGCAGAAGGGGAGAGUGGAAUUCCAUGUGUAGCGGUGAAAUGCGUAGAUAUAUGGAGGAACACCGGUGGCGAAA